rnacentral:rRNA from 1 species
UACGUAGGGGGCAAGCGUUGUCCGGAAUCAUUGGGCGUAAAGAGCGUGUAGGCGGCCCGGUAAGUCCGCUGUGAAAGCCCAGGGCUCAACCCUGGGAUGCCGGUGGAUACUGUCUGGCUCGAGUCCGGAAGAGGAGUGUGGAAUUCCUGGUGUAGCGGUGAAAUGCGCAGAUAUCAGAAGGAACACCAAUGGCGAAGGCAGCUCGCUGGAACGGAACUGACGCUGAGGCGCGAAAGCGUGGGGAGCGAACAGG